CCUACGGGGGGCAGCAGUGGGGAAUAUUGGACAAUGGGGGGAACCCUGAUCCAGCCAUGCCGCGUGUGUGAAGAAGGCCCUCGGGUUGUAAAGCACUUUCAGUGAGGAAGAACGCCUGGUGGUUAAUACCCAUCAGGAAAGACAUCACUCACAGAAGAAGCACCGGCUAACUCCGUGCCAGCAGCCGCGGUAAUACGGAGGGUGCGAGCGUUAAUCGGAAUUACUGGGCGUAAAGCGCGCGUAGGUGGCUUGAUAAGCCGGUUGUGAAAGCCCUGGGCUCAACCUGGGAACGGCAUCCGGAACUGUCAAGCUAGAGUGCAGGAGAGGAAGGUAGAAUUCCCGGUGUAGCGGUGAAAUGCGUAGAGAUCGGGAGGAAUACCAGUGGCGAAGGCGGCCUUCUGGACUGACACUGACACUGAGGUGCGAAAGCGUGGGUAGCAAACAGGAUUAGAUACCCCUGUAGUC
rnacentral:rRNA from 1 species